GAAAAAGAAAAAGAAUUAGCACUUUCUAUAUGAGAAAUCAAUACCCAUGCAUACACAACAAAACUAUUAUUUUAGAAAGAGUUUUUUUAUGAGGAUUUUACAUCAGUAUUAUGUUUGAAAUUUCUAGCACUCUCUAGAGUUUAUUUACAUCAGAUAUUUAAGCAUUCUUGAAAGGUUUUCAUUGGGAGUAUUAGUUUUCAGCUUUGGAGAUUUAUUUAUUGGUUGUUUGGGUUUUUUUGGAGGAGUUGAAACAUCACUUCCAAGCACUCUUGAGGAAAUAUCAAAUCAGUAUAUCAAGUUGCAUCAGGUUUCCCUCCUGCCUAUUGUUUCCAAGUAGUUGGGCAUUUUGUACAGGGACAAACAUCUUUCAUGUUAUAAAAGAUUCUGGGGAAAUGUAAGCUUCAUAGUUGGGUGGAAAAGCGCCUAAGCCAUGAUCUCAUAUCUCGAGCUGCGGAUGACAAAUGCAAUCAAUGACACUUAGAGGCACAUGAUUACUUUCAUAUUUUUUAUUAUUCUUUGUAUAAGCUUGCACAUUGUAUAAUGUUCUUGUAUUGAGUUAUCUCUUGGGCAUGAGGGCCUAUAAUGUAAUUAUUAUUCAUCUCUUGUACAUGUGCUUACACUUGGAUUUAGCACUACUUAAUUGAGAUGUAUUGACAUUAAUUGUG